ACCCCAGCCCCUGCCCUGGCUUGUCCACCCAGGCAAGACGCUGCCCAGCAGCCUGGGUCCCCUGGGCUUCCCGGCCACGCCAUCCCUCCGAGACCACAUUCCUGACCAUGCAGGCUUUCCCUGCAAACCGCCCACAGCUCUGAGCCUUACUGACGUGCAGCUGCCCCCGCCUACAUCACUGGCCACGCAGCAGCUGUCCAGGCUGCCCUACCGUCUCUGCCUGAGGGCCAGGAAGACCAACCCUGCCCUUCAGGACCCCUGUGGCCAGCCUCAGCUCAGAGUGGGAGGCAAUGAGAAUGGAGUUCUGUCACCUAUACCACCACAGAGGUCACCAGGUCCCGUGCACUCAGCCACACGUCCCUUGGGCCUCAGCACCACACAGCCCCUCAGGUGGGUCCCUCCCUGCCUUUGCUCCACUUCCCCAAACCCACAUGGUCCCCUUUGUGUCUUCCUCAGCUCUGCCGCUUUCUCCCCUCCAGGGGGCACCUGCAACUUCCAGGGACACCCUCAGUUCUGCCACCGUCCCCUCACACCAGGCUCACCCUCGCCCCCCUCCGUCUGUCACCUGCCCCCAUCUAACUGGCUUCACCACCCUGGAUCCCUCUCCAGGCCACCAACUGCCAGAGAGUUCCACUUGGGAAGAGAGGUCCCAGGUCCCCUCACCCACCAGCUGUGACCGAAGCUGGGAAAGCUGGAGGCAGCAAGCCAGGAAGAGUCCACCCAGAAAGGAAGUGUCCCAGCGAUGGGCAGAACACCCGCGUGGUCUUCCAGUGACCGAUGGCAGGAAUAUCAGGAAGGAAUGGUGUCCGGCUCCGAAUUAGGAGAAGUACAUCAAGCACUCUUCCCGCCCCCACGCACAGAGCAGAUCUUUCCUCAGAUGCGAGGGAGGAAAAGCCUCUCAUAAUCAUGUUGAAUGUUAAUAAUUAAAGUUAAACGGCUCAGUGGAUUGAGUCUCUAUUUCUUGAAAGCCACCUGCUUCAUCACAGGGUGACCCUGCGUGUCAGUUCUCCGUACCUAAAUGACUGGUGAAGUUCAGUUCCGGCAAACUUGGCAUUUCCCAGGAAACUUGGACUUAAUAAGGGUUUCCUUCUGGGUUUCCCAGGACCCUUCAAUACCACAGCCCUCGCUUGGUCUUGACCUGACAUGUUUCCCAAGAGAUGCGUGAGGGUGAGGGGCUGUCGGCGGUUGUCAUGGUUACUGGAACUGCAACCUGCCGUCCAUCUCCCAUUCACCCAGCUCCCUGGAGAGACUUUAGUCCUGUCCCACCACCCCACACUGGGAUCCUUGAUCUGCAGCCCUUCUGGGAAGAAGCCAUGUAGCCCAUCCUCCUGCCCCGACCCCCACACCCAGGAGGGGGAUCUGGGGCCACAGCUGUAGCCCACAGCCAGCUCCUCAGCAGCCCUUUUUUUUUUCCUCAGAAAGCAACUGGCCUUGUAAAGACCAAGUUGUGGGCAUGGGUCAGGGUUAGGCUCCUUUUGUGGCUCCUAAAGGCAAAGCCUUCUGUGGCUGGUGCAGCUCUAAGCCCUUGUAAAAUC
rnacentral:lncRNA from 1 species